GACGAACGCUGGCGGCGUGCUUAACACAUGCAAGUUGAACGGAAAGGCCCUGCUUUUGUGGGGUGCUCGAGUGGCGAACGGGUGAGUAACACGUGAGUAACCUGCCCUUGACUUUGGGAUAACUUCAGGAAACUGGGGCUAAUACCGGAUAGGAGCUCCUGCUGCAUGGUGGGGGUUGGAAAGUUUCGGCGGUUGGGGAUGGACUCGCGGCUUAUCAGCUUGUUGGUGGGGUAGUGGCUUACCAAGGCUUUGACGGGUAGCCGGCCUGAGAGGGUGACCGGCCACAAUGGGACUGAGAUACGCCCCAGACUCCUACGGGAGGCAGCAGUGGGGAGUAUUGCACAAUGGGCGGAAGCCUGAUGCGGCAACGCCGCGUGCGGGAUGACGGCCUUCGGGUUGUAAACCGCUUUCGCCUGUGACGAAGCGUGAGUGACGGUAAUGGGUAAAGAAGCACCGGCUAACUACGUG
rnacentral:rRNA from 1 species